rnacentral:rRNA from 1 species
UGGGGAAUAUUGCACAAUGGGCGAAAGCCUGAUGCAGCAACGCCGCGUGAGGGACGACGGCCUUCGGGUUGUAAACCUCUUUAGCAAGGAAGAAGCGAAAGUGACGGUACUUGCAGAAAAAGCGCCGGCUAACUACGUGCCAGCAGCCGCGGUAAUACGUAGGGCGCAAGCGUUAUCCGGAAUUAUUGGGCGUAAAGAGCUCGUAGGCGGUUUGUCGCGUCUGCUGUGAAAACCCGAGGCUCAACCUCGGGCCUGCAGUGGGUACGGGCAGACUAGAGUGCGGUAGGGGAGAUUGGAACUCCUGGUGUAGCGGUGGAAUGCGCAGAUAUCAGGAAGAACACCGAUGGCGAAGGCAGAUCUCUGGGCCGUAACUGACGCUGAGGAGCGAAAGGGUGGGGAGCAAACAGGCUUAGAUACCCUGGUAGUCCACCCCGUAAACGUUGGAACUAGUUGUGGGUCCAUUCCACGGAUUCCGUGACGCAGCUAACGCAUUAAGUU